AUUGAACGCUGGCGGCAGGCCUAACACAUGCAAGUCGAGCGGACGAAGGGAGCUUGCUCCUGGAUUCAGCGGCGGACGGGUGAGUAAUGCCUAGGAAUCUGCCUGGUAGUGGGGGAUAACGUCCGGAAACGGGCGCUAAUACCGCAUACGUCCUGAGGGAGAAAGUGGGGGAUCUUCGGACCUCACGCUAUCAGAUGAGCCUAGGUCGGAUUAGCUAGUUGGUGGGGUAAAGGCCUACCAAGGCGACGAUCCGUAACUGGUCUGAGAGGAUGAUCAGUCACACUGGAACUGAGACACGGUCCAGACUCCUACGGGAGGCAGCAGUGGGGAAUAUUGGACAAUGGGCGAAAACCUGAUCCAGCCAUGCCGCGUGUGUGAAGAAGGUCUUCGGAUUGUAAAGCACUUUAAGUUGGGAGGAAGGGCAGUAAGUUAAUACCUUGCUGUUUUGACGUUACCAACAGAAUAAGCACCGGCUAACUUCGUG
rnacentral:rRNA from 1 species